rnacentral:rRNA from 1 species
UCUUUAUACCUAGCAGUAUCCUGAGUACGGCGAGACACGCGAAAUCUCGUCGGAAUCUGGGAGGACCAUCUCCCAACCCUAAAUACUCUCUAGUGACCGAUAGUGAACCAGUACCGUGAGGGAAAGGUGAAAAGUACCCCGGAAGGGGAGUGAAAUAGAACCUGAAACCGUGUGCCUACAACAAGUUCGAGCCCGUUAAUGGGUGAGAGCGUGCCUUUUGUAGAAUGAACCGGCGAGUUACGAUAUGAUGCGAGGUUAAGUUGAAGAGACGGAGCCGUAGGGAAACCGAGUCUUAAUAGGGCGGAUUAGUAUUAUGUCGUAGACCCGAAACCAUGUGACCUACCCAUGAGCAGGUUGAAGGUGCGGUAAGACGCACUGGAGGACCGAACCAGGGCACGUUGAAAAGUGCUUGGAUGACUUGUGGGUAGCGGAGAAAUUCCAAACGAACUUGGAGAUAGCUGGUUCUCUCCGAAAUAGCUUUAGGGCUAGCGUCGACAUUGAGAAUCUUGGAGGUAGAGCACUGUUUGGAUGAGGGGGCCAUCUCGGUUUACUGAUUUCAGAUAAACUCCGAAUGCCAAUGAUUUAUGGUCGGCAGUCAGACUGCGAGUGCUAAGAUCCGUAGUCGAAAGGGAAACAGCCCAGACCACCAGCUAAGGUCCCAAAAUAAUUGUUAAGUGGAAAAGGAUGUGGGGUUGCACAGACAACUAGGAUGUUAGCUUAGAAGCAGCUAUUCAUUCAAAGAGUGCGUAAUAGCUCACUAGUCGAGUGACCCUGCGCCGAAAAUGUACCGGGGCUAAAACAAUUUACCGAAGCUGUGGAUAACACUUAGGUGUUAUGGUAGGAGAGCGUUCUAUGUGUGAAGAAGGUAUACCGUGAGGAGUGCUGGAACGCAUAGAAGUGAGAAUGCCGGUAUGAGUAGCGCAAGAUGGGUGAGAAUCCCAUCCACCGUAAGACUAAGGUUUCCAGGGGAAGGCUCGUCCGCCCUGGGUUAGUCGGGACCUAAGGAGAGACCGAAAGGUGUAUCCGAUGGACAACAGGUUGAUAUUCCUGUACUAGAGUAUGAAGUGAUGGAGGGACGCAGUAGGCUAACUAAAGCGGGCGAUUGGAAGAGCCCGUCUAAGCAGUGAGGUGUGAUAUGAGUCAAAUGCUUGUAUCUAUAACAUUGAGCUGUGAUGGGGAGCGAAGUUAAGUAGCGAAGUUAGUGACGUCACACUGCCAAGAAAAGCUUCUAGCGAUGUAUCAUACUCUACCCGUACCGCAAACCGACACAGGUAGUCGAGGCGAGUAGCCUCAGGUGAGCGAGAGAACUCUCGUUAAGGAACUCGGCAAAAUGACCCCGUAACUUCGGGAGAAGGGGUGCUGACUUAAAGUCAGCCGCAGUGAAUAGGCCCAAGCAACUGUUUAUCAAAAACACAGCUCUCUGCUAAAUCGUAAGAUGAUGUAUAGGGGGUGACGCCUGCCCGGUGCUGGAAGGUUAAGAGGAGGGUUUAGCGUAAGCGAAGAUCUGAAUUGAAGCCCCAGUAAACGGCGGCCGUAACUAUAACGGUCCUAAGGUAGCGAAAUUCCUUGUCGGGUAAGUUCCGACCCGCACGAAAGGCGUAAUGAUUUGGGCACUGUCUCAACGAGAGACUCGGUGAAAUUUUAGUACCUGUGAAGAUGCAGGUUACCCGCGACAGGACGGAAAGACCCCAUGGAGCUUUACUGCAGUUUGAUAUUGAGUAUCUGUACCACAUGUACAGGAUAGGUAGGAGCCUA